rnacentral:rRNA from 1 species
UACGAAGGGGGCUAGCGUUGCUCGGAAUCACUGGGCGUAAAGGGUGCGUAGGCGGGUUUUUAAGUCAGAGGUGAAAUCCUGGAGCUCAACUCCAGAACUGCCUUUGAUACUGAAGGUCUUGAGUAUGGGAGAGGUGAGUGGAACUGCGAGUGUAGAGGUGAAAUUCGUAGAUAUUCGCAAGAACACCAGUGGCGAAGGCGGCUCACUGGCCCAUUAACUGACGCUGAGGCACGAAAGCGUGGGGAGCAAACAGG